GGUAGUCCACGCCGUAAACGAUGUCGACUUGGAGGUUGUGCCCUUGAGGCGUGGCUUCCGGAGCUAACGCGUUAAGUCGACCGCCUGGGGAGUACGGCCGCAAGGUUAAAACUCAAAUGAAUUGACGGGGGCCCGCACAAGCGGUGGAGCAUGUGGUUUAAUUCGAUGCAACGCGAAGAACCUUACCUACUCUUGACAUCCAGAGAACUUUCCAGAGAUGGAUUGGUGCCUUCGGGAACUCUGAGACAGGUGCUGCAUGGCUGUCGUCAGCUCGUGUUGUGAAAUGUUGGGUUAAGUCCCGCAACGAGCGCAACCCUUAUCCUUUGUUGCCAGCGGUUAGGCCGGGAACUCAAAGGAGACUGCCAGUGAUAAACUGGAGGAAGGUGGGGAUGACGUCAAGUCAUCAUGGCCCUUACGAGUAGGGCUACACACGUGCUACAAUGGCGCAUACAAAGAGAAGCGACCUCGCGAGAGCAAGCGGACCUCAUAAAGUGCGUCGUAGUCCGGAUUGGAGUCUGCAACUCGACUCCAUGAAGUCGGAAUCGCUAGUAAUCGUAGAUCAGAAUGCUACGGUGAAUACGUUCCCGGGCCUUGUACACACCGCCCGUCACACCAUGGGAGUGGGUUGCAAAAGAAGUAGGUAGCUUAACCUUCGGGAGGGCGCUUACCACUUUGUGAUUCAUGACUGGGGUGAAGUCGUAACAAGGUAACCGUAGGGGAACCUGC
rnacentral:rRNA from 1 species